GCUUUAAUAGUUUAAAUAAAACAUUGGUUUUGUAAACCAAAAUUAAGUUAUACUUUUUAAGCU
rnacentral:tRNA from 1 species